GUCAGGCGCGGUGGCAUGUGCCUGUAGUCCCAGCUACUCAGGAGGCUGAGGUGGGAGGAUCACUUGAGCCCAGGAGUUCUGGGCUGUAGUGCGCUAUGCCAAUUGGGUGUCUGCACUAACUAAGUUCAGCAUCAAUAUGGUGACCUCCCGGGAGCAGGGGACCACCAGGUUGCCUAAGGAGGGGUGAACCGGCCCAGGUCAGAAACGGAGCAGGUCAAAACUCUCAUGCUGAUCAGUAGCAGGAUUGUGCCCGUGAAUAGACACUGCACUCCAGCCUGGGCAACAUAGCGAGACCCUGUCUCU
rnacentral:SRP_RNA from 1 species